GGUCAGUCUGAGGUGAGUGUGAGAUCAAUCUGAGGACAAAGGUCAGUCCGAGGUCAGUCUGAGGUCAAUGUGAGGACAGAGGUAAGUGUGGGGUCAGAGGUCAGUGUGAGGUCUGUGGUCAACAUGAGAUCGGUGUGAGGUCAGAUCUGAGGUGAGUGUGAGGUCAAUCUGAGGUCAAAGGACAGUGUGAGGUCAAUCCGAGGUCAGUGUGAGGUCAGUGGUCAAUCUGAGGUCAAUGUGAAGACAGAAGUAAUUGUGGGGUCAGAGGUCAUUGUGAGGUCAGUCUAAGGUCAGUCUGAGUUCAGUGUGAGAUCUGUGUGAGGUCUUAGGUCAAUCUGAAGUCACUGUGAGGUCAGAGGUCAAUGUGAGGUUAGUGUGAGUUCAGUGUGAGAUCAGUCUGAGGUCAAAGGUCAGUCUGAGGUCAAUCCAAGGCAGUGUGAGGUCAG
ensembl:lncRNA